rfam:Triticum aestivum genome assembly, contig: Triticum_aestivum_CS42_TGACv1_scaffold_130549_2BL
AAAGUACUCCCUUCAUCCCAAAAUUCUUGUCUUAGAUUUGUCUAGAUACGGAUGUAUCAAGUCACAUUUUAGUAUUAGAUACAUCCGUAUCUAGACAAAUCUAAGACAAGAAAUUUGGGACAGAGGGAGUAGUUG